rnacentral:rRNA from 1 species
UACACACCGCCCGUCACACCAUGGGAGUCAGUUGCUCUAGAAGUCGGUGCGCCAACCUCGUGAGGCAGCCGCCUAAAGAGUGACUGGGGUG